rnacentral:rRNA from 1 species
UACGGGGGGAGCAAGCGUUGUUCGGAUUUGCUGGGCGUAAAGGGCGCGUAGGCGGUCAGCACAAGUCAGUUGUGAAAUCUCCGGGCUUAACUCGGAAAGGUCAGCCGAUACUGCGGGGCUAGAGUGCAGAAGGGGCAACUGGAAUUCUCGGUGUAGCGGUGAAAUGCGUAGAUAUCGAGAGGAACACCUGCGGCGAAGGCGGGUUGCUGGGCUGACACUGACGCUGAGGCGCGAAAGCUAGGGGAGCGAACGGG